AGUUUCAGUCUCGAGGUCCCCGGGCUGCUUCUUAUUUAUGAUCAGAUCAAGGGUAUAAGGUGUCAGUGGGGGCAGCCAGCAGUCAUAGGCCAGAGAGGGGCGACUGCCCGUCCCAAGGGCUUGUCACAGGGUAAGUAACCGACAGACUGGGAAAGGAAGGAGGCAAUCUUCAGCCACUCGGUCACUCAUUCUAAAUUCACUCUCAUUUUUUGGGCAUCUAUUGUGCAAGCCCUGUGGACUUAAAAAGAGAAAUAAGACGCCGUCCCUGCCCUCGGGAGCUCCCGGCGCAUCUGCCCCAACAACUCGCUGAAGCCGCCUGCAGGACGCCUGAGUGAGGACAAGGUGUCUCACUCAGAAAAUUUGCUUGAUUCUUCCUGGCAAGUGGGACAGGUCCCUGCAGUUGCUGGGGAAAGUGGACUCUUCUGGUAGCUGCUUUUACAGCCCCUGCCCUCAGAGGCCCCCCAGGUGGGAAGGGCCUGCCUCCUAGGCAGUGGGUGGUCACCGAGGACUGACUUUGAACCCGGGGCAAGGGAGCCCCAGAAGGCUGGAGGCCUGCACACGGCACUGGAAGAAACAAACUGCAAAGGC
ensembl:lncRNA MGC16275 uncharacterized protein MGC16275